UUCAAAUUGGGCUGCAUUUCUGAGGGUUCUGCUUCAGUGUCAUGGCUGCCCCCCCAGGGGCCGGGGUCCCCAAGUUCAGAACCCUUGAAUCAGUACUAUUUCCCUCUGCUCUUUCCCCUCCUUCCUGUCCCCAUCUCUCAAAAGCCUUCUUGUGAGGCACAGACAACCCAGCAGGACCUCCUGCAUGAAGAGGGAAGGCAGGGACACUGUCCACCUACAGAUCCAGUGCCCUACACUCUAACCAGCUGAAGUCCUGGCGUUCCGAUCCCGUGCCCUGCACCUGUGCAUGAGACAGAAGGCAGAAAAGAACAGUCCCAGCAAGCUACGUCACUGCAUUUCAGUUUUCACUGGAUUCCAUACUCCACACAACCCUUCUAUAGUUCCUGAGUCUGCAGCAAGAUGCUUGGGACUUCUGAGCUUUGUCUCUGGCAUCCUGAGGGAUGCUUAGCCUGAUUCCAACCUGAGGUGCCAUGGUUUGCUCAGGGUUGUUUGGCCCCUGCCUCCUCCAGAGAAUCUGGUCUCAGCUGCCCCCAUUCUCUUUCCACACAUAUGCACUGUGCAAAAUAAAGGAUUUC
rnacentral:lncRNA from 1 species